CGGGGCCAGAUCGUCGCUCCGGGGUUCUUUGUAUCCCAAGGCGCGGUUAAUCGCCGCGCCCGAUAAGAUUAAAACUCCCGGAGAGGAAAGUCCGGACACCAUCGGGCAGGAUGCCGUGCGAGCUUCACCGCAAGCAUGGGCGGCCGGCGUUAAGGCCGGUCGACGGAUAGUGUCACAGAGAAUAAACCGCCCCGGAUUUCGGUCCGGGGUAAGGGUGAAAAGGUGGGGUAAGAGCCCACCGCGUCCCGCGUGAGCGGGAUGGCAGGAUAAACCCCUUCCGGUGCAAGGCAAAAUAGGCGACUGGCCGGCCCGGCCUUAAGUCGCGGGUAUGUCGCACCCAGCCUUCGCUCCGCUUCGGCGGAGCUACGGCGAGGCAGGUCCCUCUCGGAGGAUCUGAGAUAAAUGACGAUCGAAGUGUCUCCGGACGCGGAACAAAAUCCGGCUUAUCGGCUCCGGAAC
rnacentral:RNase_P_RNA from 1 species